AGCUAGGUGGCAUAGUAGUUUGAGUAUUGGACUAUGACCUUGAAGUCCAGGGUUCAAUUCCCUGUUUGGCCA